CUGCCGCCUUCCGCGGGUCCGGUGUCCGGGGUGUCCCAGGUGAAGGGGUGGCUCCACCUCGUCCCUCCCCUCGGCGCCUUCCUUGUGCCCGUCACUGGGGAUUAGCGCAGGGACAGCCCCGGGCUUGGGGACAGGCACAGGGGACAGGGCCAGCCGCCACCUCGCCUGGAUGUAGGAGGCCUGGCCGGGGGCGAGGAGCGAGGGUGACAUCGCCCAUCCCUGCGCUGGGCGAGGACGGGGACCCCCCCGCGCCCCCCCUGCCCUCGGGGGCACCAUGAAGGACCGGCUGGAGCAGCUCAAGGCGAAGCAGGAUGCGGACGAUGAGGAGGAGCUGGAGAUCGCUGUGGACAACACGGCGUUCAUGGAUGAGUUCUUCUCGGAGAUCGAGGAGACCCGGCAGAACAUCGACAAGAUCUCGGAGAAYGUGGAGGAAGCCAAGAAGCUCUACAGCAUCAUCCUCUCAGCCCCCAUCCCGGAGCAGAAGACCAAAGAUGACCUGGAGCAGCUGACGGCAGAGAUCAAGAAAAUGGCCAACAGUGUCCGUAACAAGCUGAAGAGUAUGGAGAGGAACAUCGAGCAGGACGAGGCACGAUCCUCCGCCGACCUCCGGAUACGCAAGUCCCAGCACUCGGUCCUGUCCCGCAAGUUCGUGGAUGUCAUGACCAAGUACAACGAGGCGCAGGUGGAUUUCCGGGAGCGCAGCAAGGGCCGGAUCCAGCGCCAGCUGGAAAUCACCGGCAAGAACACGACAGAUGAGGAGCUGGAGGAAAUGCUGGAGAGCGGGAACCCCUCCAUCUUCACCUCGGGGAUCAUGGACUCGCAGAUCUCGAAGCAGGCGCUGAGCGAGAUCGAGGGGCGGCACAAGGACAUUGUGCGCCUGGAGAGCAGCAUCAAGGAGCUCCACGACAUGUUCGUGGACAUCGCCAUGCUGGUGGAGAACCAGGUACGGGGACACGCAGGGAGCUGCCCGUGGGGACAYGGAGAUGGGCAGGGACCUAAAUAUGGGGUCACAGGGACAGGUCAUGGGGUCACAGGGAUGAACAGGGACCUGUGGAUGGGGUGAAGAGGGACAAGACAGGGUGACCAGGGACAAUCAGGGACCUGUGUGUGGGGUCAYAGGAGCACUGAGUGGCCCAGGGACCCGCACAAGGGGACCCAGGCAUGGAGCAAUGUGGGGCAGGGUGAUGACCACCGCACACGGUGUCCCCAUGGGGCCACCCAGCACCCCGCAGUGGCCUGGAGAGGACACAGGAGUGCCCCCCACCCUGCGGUGGUGCCGUCCCCUCUCUCAGCCCCUCUCUGUCCCCCCAUGCUGCGCGAGGAGCCGCCGCGUGCCCCGGGAACGGGGUGGGCUGCUGGAUAAUGUGGAGAGGAGCACGGAGGCGAGCCGGUGCCAGGGCCAGGCGUGCCAGGUGGGUGGGUGCCAGCACCCCGGGGUGCUCUCAGAGUCCUUCCCCGCUCUCCGUGUCCCCCGGGUGCUCCGUAGGGAGCCAUGAUCGACCGCAUAGAGAACAACAUGGACCAGUCCGUCGGAUUCGUGGAACGGGC